GUUGGGUAGGGGAGCGUUCUGUAAGCCUGUGAAGGUGGCCUGUGAGGGUUGCUGGAGGUAUCAGAAGUGCGAAUGCUGACAUAAGUAACGAUAAAGCGGGUGAAAAGCCCGCUCGCCGGAAGACCAAGGGUUCCUGUCCAACGUUAAUCGGGGCAGGGUGAGUCGACCCCUAAGGCGAGGCCGAAAGGCGUAGUCGAUGGGAAACGGGUUAAUAUUCCCGUACUUGGUGUUACUGCGAAGGGGGGACGGAGAAGGCUAUGUUGGCCGGGCGACGGUUGUCCCGGUUUAAGCGUGUAGGUGUGUGUUCCAGGUAAAUCCGGUUCACUUUAACACUGAGGCGUGACGACGAGGCACUACGGUGCUGAAGCAACAAAUGCCCUGCUUCCAGGAAAAGCCUCUAAGCAUCAGGUAACAUCAAAUCGUACCCCAAACCGACACAGGUGGUCAGGUAGAGAAUACCAAGGCGCUUGAGAGAACUCGGGUGAAGGAACUAGGCAAAAUGGUGCCGUAACUUCGGGAGAAGGCACGCUGACACGUAGGUGAAGUGAUUUACUCAUGGAGCUGAAGUCAGUCGAAGAUACCAGCUGGCUGCAACUGUUUAUUAAAAACACAGCACUGUGCAAACACGAAAGUGGACGUAUACGGUGUGACGCCUGCCCGGUGCCGGAAGGUUAAUUGAUGGGGUCAGCGCAAGCGAAGCUCCUGAUCGAAGCCCCGGUAAACGGCGGCCGUAACUAUAACGGUCCUAAGGUAGCGAAAUUCCUUGUCGGGUAAGUUCCGACCUGCACGAAUGGCGUAAUGAUGGCCAGGCUGUCUCCACCCGAGACUCAGUGAAAUUGAACUCGCUGUGAAGAUGCAGUGUACCCGCGGCAAGACGGAAAGACCCCGUGAACCUUUACUAUAGCUUGACACUGAACAUUGAGCCUUGAUGUGUAGGAUAGGUGGGAGGCUUUGAAGCGUGGACGCCAGUCUGCGUGGAGCCGACCUUGAAAUACCACCCUUUAAUGUUUGAUGUUCUAACGUGGACCCGUUACCCGGGUUGCGGACAGUGUCUGGUGGGUAGUUUGACUGGGGCGGUCUCCUCCUAAAGAGUAACGGAGGAGCACGAAGGUUGGCUAAUCCUGGUCGGACAUCAGGAGGUUAGUGCAAUGGCAUAAGCCAGCUUGACUGCGAGCGUGACGGCGCGAGCAGGUGCGAAAGCAGGUCAUAGUGAUCCGGUGGUUCUGAAUGGAAGGGCCAUCGCUCAACGGAUAAAAGGUACUCCGGGGAUAACAGGCUGAUACCGCCCAAGAGUUCAUAUCGACGGCGGUGUUUGGCACCUCGAUGUCGGCUCAUCACAUCCUGGGGCUGAAGUAGGUCCCAAGGGUAUGGCUGUUCGCCAUUUAAAGUGGUACGCGAGCUGGGUUUAGAACGUCGUGAGACAGUUCGGUCCCUAUCUGCCGUGGGCGCUGGAGAACUGAGGGGGGCUGCUCCUAGUACGAGAGGACCGGAGUGGACGCAUCACUGGUGUUCGGGUUGUCAUGCCAAUGGCACUGCCCGGUAGCUAAAUGCGGAAGAGAUAAGUGCUGAAAGCAUCUAAGCACGAAACUUGCCCCGAGAUGAGUUCUCCCUGAGACUU
rnacentral:rRNA from 1 species